rnacentral:tmRNA from 1 species
GGGGAUGCACUGGAUUCGCCAAGAAGAUUAUUGCUUUGGAUUCGAGACCGAGGUUGACCACAAACUCGCUAAACUGGUUACCCAAAAUAAGUGCAAACUUAUUUAACGCGCCAGAGCGCGCUUAUGCUGUAGCUUAAAAUCUGCAGCCAUCGCCCGGCUUCCGCCCGAAGGAGCCAUGCGCGGUGCCAACUUUUCGGGCCGCUGUUUAAGGUAAGGUGAGCUUUAAACCUAAGAAAAUCGCCAAAGAACUUAACCUUUUUAGCCGUUCUUUAAGGGUUAGGUUCUAAAUCAAGAGCGGCUAGGUUUCGUAAAAAUCCACGCAAGAAACUUUUUGCACGCGGGUUCAAUUCCCGCCAUCUCCACUU